rnacentral:rRNA from 1 species
GCCAAUAUCCGUGGUAAUGGGGGUUACGUUCGGAACGGACGCUAAUACCGCAUACGUCCUACGGGAGAAAGCAGGGGACCUUCGGGCCUUGCGCUAUCAGAUGAGCCUAGGUCGGAUUAGCUAGUUGGUGAGGUAAUGGCUCACCAAGGCUACGAUCCGUAACUGGUCUGAGAGGAUGAUCAGUCACACUGGAACUGAGACACGGUCCAGACUCCUACGGGAGGCAGCAGUGGGGAAUAUUGGACAAUGGGCGAAAGCCUGAUCCAGCCAUGCCGCGUGUGUGAAGAAGGUCUUCGGAUUGUAAAGCACUUUAAGUUGGGAGGAAGGGCAUUAACCUAAUACGUUAGUGUUUUGACGUUACCGACAGAAUAAGCACCGGCUAACUCUGUGCCAGCAGCCGCGGUAAUACGGAGGGUGCAAGCGUUAAUCGGAAUUACUGGGCGUAAAGCGCGCGUAGGUGGCUAAGUCAGCCAGGUGUGAAAGCCCCGGGCUCAACCUGGGAACGGCAUCUGGAACUGCUUGGCUAGAGUGCAGGAGAGGAAGGUAGAAUUCCCGGUGUAGCGGUGAAAUGCGUAGAGAUCGGGAGGAAUACCAGUGGCGAAGGCGGCCUUCUGGACUGACACUGACACUGAGGUGCGAAAGCGUGGGUAGCAAACAGGAUUAGAUACCCUGGUAGUCCACGCCGUAAACGAUGUCAACUAGCCGUUGGGUCCCUUGAGGACUUAGUGGCGCAGCUAACGCAAUAAGUUUGACCGCCUGGGGAGUACGGCCGCCAUGUUAAAACUCAAAAUGAAUUUGACGGGGGCCCCGUCACAAGCGGUGGAGCAUGUGUUUAAUUUCGAAUGCAACGCGAAGAAACCUUACCUACCUCUUGACAUCCAGAGGAACUUUUCAAAGAUGGAAUUGCUGCCCUUUCCGGGAACUUCUGAGACAG